GGUGGCUCAGCGGUAGAGCACUUGCCUUGCAUGCAUGAGGCCCUGGGUUCGAUUCCUCAGUACCA
rnacentral:tRNA from 1 species